GCUUGACAAAUCUUGGUAUCUAGGAGCCAGUUUUUUGUUUGGAAUCUAGGGGCUAGUUUUUUGUUUGUUUUUUUGAAACUAACAACGCUUUGUUUCCAGCGACAAAAAUAAAAAUCUUAACAGGAUACUAUAGUCACCAGAUCCACUAAAGCUCAAUGUAGUUGUUCUGGUGUCUACAGUCUGUCCCUUCAGAGAAAGUGCAGUGUUUAUAUUGCUGCCUAGUAACACUUCUAGUGACC